UGGCAUACGGCUCAGUAACACGUAGUCAACAUGCCCAAAGGACGUGGAUAACCUCGGGAAACUGAGGAUAAACCGCGAUAGGCCAAGGUUUCUGGAAUGAGCCAUGACUUAAAUCUAUAUGGCCUUUGGAUUGGACUGCGGCCGAUCAGGCUGUUGGUGAGGUAAUGGCCCACCAAACCUGUUACCGGUACGGGCUUUGAGAGAAGGAGCCCGGAGAUGGGCACUGAGACAAGGGCCCAGGCCCUAUGGGGCGCAGCAGGCGCGAAACCUCUGCAAUAGGCGAAAGCCUGACAGGGUUACUCUGAGUGAUGCCCGCUAAGGGUAUCUUUUGGCACCUCUAAAAAUGGUGCAGAAUAAGGGGUGGGCAAGUCUGGUGUCAGCCGCCGCGGUAAUACCAGCACCCCGAGUGGUCGGGACGAUUAUUGGGCCUAAAGCAUCCGUAGCCGGUUCUGCAAGUCCUCCGUUAAAUCCACCUGCUCAACAGAUGGGCUGCGGAGGAUACCGCAGAGCUAGGAGGCGGGAGAGGCAAACGGUACUCGGUGGGUAGGGGUAAAAUCCAUUGAUCCACUGAAGACCACCAGUGGCGAAGGCGGUUUGCCAGAACGCGCUCGACGGUGAGGGAUGAAAGCUGGGGGAGCAAACCGGAUUAGAUACCCGGGUAGUCCCAGCUGUAAACGAUGCAGACUCGGUGAUGGGUUGGCUUCGAGCCAACCCAGUGCCGCAGGGAAGCCGUUAAGUCUGCCGCCUGGGGAGUACGGUCGCAAGACUGAAACUUAAAGGAAUUGGCGGGGGAGCACCACAAGGGGUGAAGCCUGCGGUUCAAUUGGAGUCAACGCCGGA
rnacentral:rRNA from 1 species